AGAGAUGUGUGAUGACGCAUAUCAAUAAGCGGAGGAAAAGAAACUAACAAGGAUUCCCUUAGUAACGGCGAGUGAAGCGGGAAGAGCUCAAAUUUGAAAUCUUCAAGGUUCUACCUUGACGAAUUGUAGUUUAUAGAAGUGUUUUCUGUUAGUAGAGUGGCAAAAGUUCUUUGGAAUAGGACAUCAUAGAGGGUGAGAAUCCCGUAUUUGGUCAUUCUUUCUAGCUUUGUGAUACACUUUCAACGAGUCGGAUUGUUUGGGAAUGCAGGUCCAAAAUGGGUGGUAAAUUUCAUCUAAAGCUAAAUAUUGGCGAGAGACCGAUAGCGAACAAGUACCGUGAGGGAAAGAUGAAAAGAACUUUGAAAAGAGAGUUAAACAGUACGUGAAAUUGUCAAAAGGGAAGCGUUUGACACCAGUGUUGUUUUUCCGAAAAUCAAUUACGAAUGUUUUAGUUUUUGAGAAGUUAUGACUUCAUCGGCUUGCUUCUCUCUUUAUGAAACUUUCUUAAUGCACUUUUCGGUUAACAAGUCAACAUCAAUUUCUUUUGUUGUAAAAGGGUAUGAGGAAGGUGGCUUUCUUUUCGGAGAAAGUGUUUAUAGCCUUGUACCUCUGCAAUCGGAGAGAUUGAGGUCUGCAGCGUAGAUCCUUCGGGGUUAGAUACAUUUGUGCUAAGUUAUAGCUUUUCAUAGACAACUUGUUGACUAUGUUAAGUCUUGUAGCUUACUCGCUUAUGCUAUUUUACCUACGCUUAGGAUGUUGAUCUGUAGUGCGUGCGC
rnacentral:rRNA from 1 species